rnacentral:rRNA from 1 species
CCUACGGGAGGCUGCAGUGGGGGAUAUUGGACAAUGGGCGAAAGCCUGAUCCAGCCAUGCCGCGUGUGUGAAGAAGGCCUUCGGGUUGUAAAGCACUUUCAGUGGGGAAGAAAGCCUUGGGGCUAAUACCCUCGAGGAAGGACAUCACCCACAGAAGAAGCACCGGCUAACUCCGUGCCAGCAGCCGCGGUAAUACGGAGGGUGCGAGCGUUAAUCGGAAUUACUGGGCGUAAAGCGCGCGUAGGCGGUCUGAUAAGCCGGUUGUGAAAGCCCCGGGCUCAACCUGGGAACGGCAUCCGGAACUGUCAGGCUAGAGUGCAGGAGAGGAAGGUAGAAUUCCCGGUGUAGCGGUGAAAUGCGUAGAGAUCGGGAGGAAUACCAGUGGCGAAGGCGGCCUUCUGGACUGACACUGACGCUGAGGUGCGAAAGCGUGGGUAGCAAACAGGAUUAGAUACCCUGGUAGUC